rnacentral:rRNA from 1 species
UAAACGCUGGCGGCGCACAUAAGACAUGCAAGUACGAACGAAAGUCGUUACAAAAAGGAUUGAAGAUUUAUCUGAUUGAGAUUUUGCAACAAUGGCUUUAGUGGCGGACUGGUGAGUAACGCGUAAGCAAUCUGCCUGUUAGAGGGGAAUAACAAUGAGAAAUCAUUGCUAAUACCGCAUAUGCCAUGGUUAUCGCAUGAUAACAGUGGGAAAGGAGUAAUCCGCUAACAGAUGAGCUUGCGUCUGAUUAGUUAGUUGGUGGGGUAACGGCCUACCAAGACGACGAUCAGUAGCCGGACUGAGAGGUUGAACGGCCACAUUGGGACUGAGAUACGGCCCAGACUCCUACGGGAGGCAGCAGUCGGGAAUAUUGCGCAAUGGAGGAAACUCUGACGCAGUGACGCCGCGUAUAGGAAGAAGGUUUUCGGAUUGUAAACUAUUGUCGUUAGGGAAGAAAAAGACAGUACCUAAGGAGGAAGCUCCGGCUAACUACGUA